AUGGCCCUUCUACUGUGUUCUCUUCCAAUCCAGGCUCUGUACCCUUUGUAGGGAGUGUAGCUAGUCCAAGCCUGUGGGCUGUGAGGCUGCAGCUGUCUGUGUCACAAGUUCCUUGUGUGAAGGCAGUUUAAGAUUUGCAAGUUUUUGCUCUGGUGCCAGAUGUCAAAGUGAUAAACAAGUUCAGUUGCUUCAUGCCUGCAGAAUUAAUUUUGGUUCUGAUUGGCUGGGGAGUUGCUUGGUCACACCCUCUGAUAAGAACAGGCAGCCACAUAUGGUUUCCUAAGUUUAGUACAGGGGGACUUCUGGAUGACAAUCUUUGAACUUGCUUCAUUUGUGAGUUUGCCUGUGUGAGAAUAGUGCUAUUUCACAGCUGAAAGGGGGACAAUAAAGGCUGCAUGAUGGAAACAUUCAAGUGCAUUGGAGCAGACCUUUGAAAAGCACCUCUAUGAGGGAGAGAUCUGCUUAAAGAAAGCAUUUAACCUACAGAAAUAGAAUAAAGUCCUUUUAAAGAAAACAGAAUUAAUGUUUCUGAAGAAAAAGAGUGUAGUCUAGUUAUUAAAGUGGGGAGACUAGGAGUCAGGAAACCUGAGUUCUGUUCCUGGCUUUGCCAUUGGUGUGUUGUGGGACUUUGGGUAACUGAGCCUCAGUUUUUCCCUUUGUAAAAUGGGGAUAAUCCUACCUGCCUUACAGGGGUGGUGGGAUGGUUGACCAAUGUUUGUGAGGUGCUUGGAGCUCCUCAGAGGAACGGCACCAGAGUUAGAUGGGAAAAAGCAAUAGAAAACGGACCUGACCUACGGAUUAAAUAUAUUGCUUGUGUGCCAAACCCAAAUAUAGUCCACAACACAGUGGAGCUUUCUGCAACAAACCCCUCUGUUAGGAGCAUGUUGUACUGGGAUGGGUCUGAAACCUGACUUCUGUGAAUGAGUCAACAGGAGGGAGUUAGCUGAGAACACGCUGCAGAUACAGUUUUUAGGAGGAGCGAGUGGAUACAGGGAAAUGAGUGCUUAGCUGUCAACCACAGAGCACGCUGCACCUGAACCCAUCCUCCUUCAGCUUAUGCUGCUGGGCCAGGCCCCAGAGUGCAGGGGCUUUGGAGCCUUCAGCGAGGCCCUUGCUGAGCCUCUUCUCAUGUGGCGCCGUGGGAAGACAGUUGUAGUAUAACCUGGUGACACAAUAAUCUCCCCGACGGUACUGCAACCCUGGACAUGCUGUAGUGAAUGUGCACUGUUAGGGGUCAGUCAGCAGCUUUUAAUGUGGCUGGUGGGGAGGGCUUGGAUUUCUGCCCAGCCCCAGUUUUUAUGGCCAGGAGCACAUAGCGACCCAGGCUUUGGUAGGUGGAGUCCCCCACCAUUUUCCUUCCCACCCUGCUGCCGAUCAGAACUGUUUGCUUUAACGACCUGAGCUGCUGCCAAGAGAGCUGACGUACCACCCUUCCUCUCGCAUUCCCUGCAGCUGAACUUUGCUUCCCCUCGGCCUUGCCAGCACUCUCAAUGUUUGUACGAUGAACAGGCACUUUCAGAACUGGAGCUGGGUAAACAAGGACUAGUCGGAAAGCCAAAGUUCAAGGCUGAUCCUUUACUCACAGGAAAGUCUGUGUCUAGGAUGCUGCUGUCACUCCCUCUGGCUUACCCUGGAUUUCUUCUCCUUUUCCAUGUUUCAUGGUUAAAAAGUGGGUUUGGUGCUGGACUUGAGAAAUCCUGUGCUCACGGAAAGGGCACAGCUUAGAGGCAGUGGCAAUCUGAGCUUCUCCCCUCACUGCUCUGCUAACGUGCUGAGCUGCAGAACUACUUGGUGGGCUGAGAGAGUCGUUCAGUUUCCAGGCCUGUUGUAUCCUCGCAUGCGAGUGCCAGCCGUGCUGGGUAUUACUGAGUGAUGUGAACACCGCUCCAUUAGGAAAAACUGAGCCCAUGAACUCAUUCCUAUUGGCCAAAAACCAACCACUGUCUGGUUACAGUGACUGGUCAUUAGUGACCUAGGGGUUUUCCUCUCUUUCAGACCCCUCUUUCCCUGAAUGGCCUCUGAGCAGGGACAGGAUCCCCAGAGCCAUCAUGAUGGUCACCAUUAGCCAUUUCAUGUAUCGGGUUCCUACCCUUAUGUGUGUUAGGUUUGCAUUUCACAGUAGUGAAACAUUCAGGCUUGAAGCUAAGUGAUGUUCUCUGCACAGACUCAGUGAAGGCUCCCUGUGUGUAUGAGGCAUUGCUCACUGUCCGUCCUAUCACCUUCCCCAUUGGCACCCUCCCCUUCAAAUUCCUGUCUAAUGGGAGCUCAGACUGGAAUGGAACUAUGGUUACUGAGCUGGAAAAGCACUGCUUUGUUAAUCACAUUGAGCCAGGCUGUGCUAGCGAUUUCAGGGUCGUUCCCACACUGGCCCCCAACCUAUCUACAGAAGUCACUGCAAGGGGAGGUACAAUAAUGGAAAAGCCAGACAGUGCUAAUGACUCAUCAGCUAGUACAACAGGCUGUGAAAACAUUUUGGCUUACCUUCCUGCCGAUGUUCCAUGCUGCUAACUCAUGGACUCCAGGAUACUACAGUCACAUGGUCUGGUCACUUGAUACUGAACACCACCUGGGACUUUUUGUAACUUUCGGAGUGAAGGGAGGGGGUCAUGUUUGGGAGACAAAGGAUUCCUGCCUUAUGCUAAUCCUAUUUAAGGGAGAGGAAUGAGGUAAUCCUGGUCAUCAGUGCUCCCCGGCUACCCCAUCCAAGAUGACUGCUGGAAACAACUAAAGACUGAACUGGGGACAAGCCCUGGACCCAGACUGGAAGGGUAUCCAGUCUGUGCAAAGCUUCUUGGAACAACUGUGAGGAUUAUUUCUCGUGUCCUUAACUCAAGCAAAGAAAAUGGGUGAACUCCUUCUAAAUGCUCUUGAGAAUCUCUCAGCGGAAAACCUUACAAAAUUUAAAUUCAUGUUGUUAUAUACAAACUUUGAAGAAAAAGGGACUAUCUCCAAACAUCAGCUGGAGGAGGCUGUUCAUGUCACAGAUCUUGUGCAACUUUUGAUAGAAUUCUAUAGUGAAGAUGCAGUGAAUGCAACUCUGAGUUUUUUUUAUAAGAUCUGUGUGAGAGAUUCUGCUGCUAAACCCAGAAAGGCAACAGAGAAAGAUUACAGGGUGAAGUAUAAAGAACAUAUUAAAAAACAGUACCAGUUAAUAAAAGAAAGGAACUCUCGUCUUGGUGAGACUGUGAAUCUAAGCAAAAGGUAUACAAAACUGACUAUUAUAAGCAAGCUUCGUUGCAAAAAGGAGAGAGAACAUGAAAUAAUGGCCUCCAGAUGGAGACAUGCAAAAAUCAUGACUGAACGAGCUCGCUCUUCGGUUACCAUAAACUCCUUAUUUGAUCCUGAAAAUGGACAAACACCACAAAUCGUUGCUCUGCAGGGAGCUGCAGGCAUUGGGAAAACAAUGACUGCAAAAACGAACAGGAGUACUUGUGGCACCUUA